rnacentral:rRNA from 1 species
CCAAUAGCGUAUAUUAAAGUUGCUGCAGUUAAAAAGCUCGUAGUUGAAUUUCGGGAUCAAUAUGUUGGUCGUGCCUCGGUACGUACUAGCUUAUUGGUUUCUCCCUUCUGACGAACCAUGAUGUCAUUUAUUUGGUGUUAUGGGAAAUCAGGACUGUUACUUUGAAAAAAUUAGAGUGUUUAAAGCAGGCUCACGCUUGAAUACAUUAGCAUGGAAUAAUGAAAUAGGACGUUUGAUUCUAUUUUGUUGGUUUCUAGGAUCGACGUAAUGAUUAAUAGGGAUAGUUGGGGGGAUUAGUAUUCAAUUGUCAGAGGUGAAAUUCUUGGAUUUAUUGAAGACUAACUACUGCGAAAGCAUUUGCCAAGGAUGUUUUCAUUAAUCAAGAACGAAAGUUAGGGGAUCGAAGACGAUCAGAUACCGUCGUAGUCUUAACCAUAAACUAUGCCGACUAGGGAUCGGAUGAUGUUAAUUUUUUAAUGACUCAUUCGGCGCCUUACGGGAAACCAAGUGUUUGGGUUC